rnacentral:rRNA from 1 species
GACGAACGCUGGCGGCGUGCUUAACACAUGCAAGUCGAACGGAAAGGCCCUGCUUUUGUGGGGUGCUCGAGUGGCGAACGGGUGAGUAACACGUGAGUAACCUGCCCUUGACUUUGGGAUAACUUCAGGAAACUGGGGCUAAUACCGGAUAGGAGCUCCUGCUACAUGGUGGGGGUUGGAAAGUUUCGGCGGUUGGGGAUGGACUCGCGGCUUAUCAGCUUGUUGGUGGGGUAGUGGCUUACCAAGGCUUUGACGGGUAGCCGGCCUGAGAGGGUGACCGGCCACAUUGGGACUGAGAUACGGCCCAGACUCCUACGGGAGGCAGCAGUGGGGAAUAUUGCACAAUGGGCGGAAGCCUGAUGCAGCAACGCCGCGUGCGGGAUGACGGCCUUCGGGUUGUAACCCGCUUUCGCCUGUGACGAAGCGUGAGUGACGGUAAUGGGUAAAGAAGCACCGGCUAACUACGUG